AUGACCGGCAGCGCGUGGUUUGCCAGCUGCGCCAUGUGGAUGAAUCGGUUCCCGCUCACACAGUCACCAACCAGUCCACUCUUCGCCCAUACGACGCUCCGUCGCCAGCGGAAGAGGAACGGGCCGCGCUCUCCCACGCAGCCACGCCAACGUCGUCACGCCUUGUGGGAGGAGAAGGUGACGACGACGACGGUUCGAUCUGUGGUCUGCCUCGGCAUGGCAUGGGAGGCAACGGAUCGAUCCGGUCAACCCAGCGUCGUCACGCUCAAGGCCGUCCGCGGCAGCUGCAAAUUGAGGCGGCGACUACAAAUCGAAGGUCAGUGCAUGUCUCUUCUUCCCAUCCCUCCAGGGAAAGUUCUGGAAAUCUGGGCGGCGGCGGCAGUCAAGCUGGGCACGGCGCAGACGGCAAACGCAACUGAGGGCGCACAGCGGGUGUGCGUCGGUGCUGUGAGUUGGCUGCGUGCUGCCAGUGGCGUGCGUGUGGUGUUCGUGCUGCUGGAGGCGUGUGUGCGUGCUAGAUGUGUGGAGCUGAAAGGGACAGACUACCGGGAAGUCAGGGGCUACAUAUCCUUCCUCUCCUUGAUUUUCUCUCCAAAAUCAGAGACCAGCGACUCCAUUCGCCUCCGUGGGUUAGAUGCCGUUGCUGCCGGUGGCGCAUGCUUGACGCCGAGCCUUUUGCAACUGCUGUUGGGUGUGCCCUCUCUUCUAAACCCCCCUUGCCUCUGUAGCUCCGAACACCUCUUCGUGCGCGGCGACCGAUGCAGCGUCGCCUCCAUUGCCGUCACCAUCUUCCCAGCCGUGGCGUCCAGGAGCUCGUCGUCGUCCUCGUUCGACGCCUCCGCCUUUGAGGCCAAGAGGCUCUGCCUCGAUGCCGACGCGCGGGCCGACACCGCCGUGAGGCUGAGGGCAUCACACGCAACCCCCGCCACAUCCACCACCGCAUCUCUAACUUCGAUGUCGCAAUCGUCACUGCCGAUUUGGAUAACAAUGCGCCGCUUCAUCACUGAGUUACGGAGGUUGGGCGUGUUGACGGAUGCACAAUGCGUGAAGCAAUGUGGCAUCUGCGGAUGGAGAUUGCUAGCAAUUCUACUGGUGGUUGAUUUUGGCGGGUGGUACAAACUUGAUUCAAAAUCUGCAGGCAGCAACUCUUCUCAUAUGAUAGAACACUCUCAAGUAUCAUUGCUGAAAGAUGUCAUUGUACCUUACACACAUUUGCUCCCUACCAUGCACCUAUCAGAAAAUAUGGAUUGCCCCACUCUUCUGUACUUGAAGGGAGCCAAACACAGACAUCAGGGUGGUUUGUUGCGUGAAAAACUGUGGGACUUGAUGGUUAAUGAGCCUGAUGUUAUCAUGGAAGAAGGUUUUCCUAAUGCCACACGACAUGGGCAAUCAAUUAAAGGGAUGCGGGCAGUGGCAUAUCAGCCACACGCCCCGGGCCAUGGCCCCCCUAGCCUGGGGCCUGUCUACGCCACUGGAUGCGGGUAUCAGAGUUGGCCGAUGCAACAUCACCGAUUUGGAAGGAGGGGUGCAAAUCUGAGGAUGGAUUGA
rnacentral:rRNA from 1 species